rnacentral:rRNA from 1 species
UGGGGGAUAUUGCACAAUGGGCGAAAGCCUGAUGCAGCGACGCCGCGUGGGGGAUGAAGGCCUUCGGGUUGUAAACUUCUUUUGCUCUGAACAAGGCGCACCAUGGGGUGUGUUGAGUGUAGGGGUUGAUUAGCGCCGGCUAACUACGUGCCAGCAGCCGCGGUAAUACGUAGGGCGCGAGCGUUGUCCGGAAUUAUUGGGCGUAAAGGGCUUGUAGGUGGCUGGUUGCGUCUGUCGUGAAAGCUCAUGGCUUAACUGUGGGUUUGCGGUGGGUACGGGCUGGCUCGAGUGCAGUAGGGGAGGCUGGAAUUCCUGGUGUAGCGGUGGAAUGCGCAGAUAUCAGGAGGAAUACCGGUGGCGAAGGCGGGUCUCUGGGAUGUUACUGACACUGAGGAGCGAAAGCAUGGGGAGCGAACAGG